CACCGUAACAUACAAAUGUAAUAAUACUAAAACUUCACUCAAUGGAAAUACUGGAGCAUGGACUUCUUAGAUGGUCAGUUAGUGCAGUUAAUCACACAGCAAGCCAUAUUAUCUCAGCUAUUUG